rnacentral:rRNA from 1 species
UGGGGAAUAUUGGACAAUGGGCGAAAGCCUGAUCCAGCCAUGCCGCGUGUGUGAAGAAUGUCCCCGGAUUGUACAGCACUUUAAGUUGGGAGGAAGGGCAGUAAGCGAAUACCUUGCUGUUUUGACGUUACCGACAGAAUAAGCACCGGCUAACUCUGUGCCAGCAGCCGCGGUAAUACAGAGGGUGCAAGCGUUAAUCGGAAUUACUGGGCGUAAAGCGCGCGUAGGUGGUUCGUUAAGUUGAAUGUGAAAGCCCCGGGCUCAACCUGGGAACUGCAUCCAAAACUGGCGAGCUAGAGUAGGGCAGAGGGUGGUGGAAUUUCCUGUGUAGCGGUGAAAUGCGUAGAUAUAGGAAGGAACACCAGUAGCGAAGUCGACCACCUGGGCUCAUACUGACACUGAGGUGCGAAAGCGGGGGGAGCAAACAGG